AUACAGCUUUAAGGCCUUUGUUUUCACAAUUUCAACAGAAUAAAUCAAUACUUUGAAAACUUUGCUCCACAAAGCUACUAACACUGAAUCCUUCUGUUGUAGCAUCAUUGAAUGACAAAGCUGAAAAGGAACUGGAUAUCAGGGAUCACAAACCCAAAUGCUUACAGGGGCUACCACACGGAUAUUGGACAAGAGGACUUAAGACUCUGAAAGGUAACAGCAGAAACAACUUCCUUCCACCCUGUGUGUGUCACUGUCUACAGCAGCAUGGAGAAGUCAGGCGAGUGUUUCCCAUAAAUUCAGUGGGAUUCUUAUGGUAACCGUGGGAAGAAGAGAGUGCAGGACUAAAAUAAAACACAUAUGGUCAUUUCUUUUCUUUUUUCAUUUUUUCUUGAUUUGAGAUAUUGUACUUUAUUCUAUGCAAAGAAUGCACUUGGUUUUAUAAAUGGUAAUAGAUUCAGUAUUCUAACACUCAUUUCUCACCUUGAAUAAAGAGACUGCAUUAACAUAA